rnacentral:rRNA from 1 species
UUAGGGAUAUUCGUCAAUGGGGGAAACCCUGAACGAGCAAUGCCGCGUGAAUGAUGACGGUCCUUUGGAUUGUAAAAUUCUGUUGUUAGGGAAGAACGACCUAGGUAGGAAAUGACCUAGGAGUGACGGUACCUUUCAAGAAAGCUCCGGCUAACUACGUGCCAGCAGCCGCGGUAAUACGUAGGGAGCGAGCGUUAUCCGGAUUUAUUGGGUGUAAAGCGUGUGUAGGCGGUUUCUUAAGUCUGUGGUCUAAGCCCGAAGCUUAACUUCGGUUCGCCACAGAAACUGGGUUACUUGAGUGCAGUAGAGGCAAGUGGAAUUUCUAGUGUAGCGGUAAAAUGCGUAGAUAUUAGAAGGAACACCAGUGGCGAAGGCGACUUGCUGGGCUGUUACUGACGCU